GAACCUGCGGAGGGAUCAUU
rnacentral:rRNA from 8 species